rnacentral:rRNA from 1 species
UCUUAAGCUGAGUCAUGACACGCUGUCAGCUAUCGCGGGCCGCGGGAAUUCGAUUUUAGCAUGGAAUAAUGGAAUAGGACGUGCGGUUCUAUUUUGUUAGUUUCUAGGACCGCCGUAAUGAUUAAUAGGGACAGUUGGGGGCAUCAGUAUUCCGCAGUUAGGGGUGAAAUUCUUGGAUCUGCGGAAGACUAACUGCUGCGAAAGCGUUUGUCAAAGAUGUUUUCAUUAAUCAGGAACGAAAGUCGGGGGAUCGAAGACGAUCAGAUACCGUCGUAGUCUUGACCAUAAACUAUGCCGACUAGGGAUCGGGCGAUGUUAUAUUUUGACUCGCUCGGCACCUUACGAGAAAUCAAAGUGCUUGGGCUCCAGGGGGAGUAUGGUCGCAAGGCUGAAACUUAAAGAAAUUGACGGAAGGGCACCACCAGGGGUGGAGCCUGCGGCUUAAUUUGACUCAACACGGGGAAACUCACCAGGUCCAGACACAAUGAGGAUUGACAGAUUGAGAGCUCUUUCUUGAUUUUGUGGGUGGUGGUGCAUGGCCGUUCUUAGUUGGUGGAGUGAUUUGUCAGAUUAAUUUCGAUAACGAACGAGACCUUCACUGUUAACUAGCCCGCAUUGCUUUGGGAGUGCGCUGGCUUCUUAGCGCGACUAUUGUCGCGAGCCAAUGAAAAUUGGAGACUAUAACAGGUCUGUGAUGCUCAUAUAUGUUCUGACCCACAAGCGCGCUACUCUGACGGAGCCAGCGAUACUUCGUUAGCCGACAGGAUUGCAUAAUCGUGUCACACUACGUCGUGCUGUAUACAUAGCUGUGCAAUUAUCACUAGUCAUUCCGAUCGCAUGCAGCCGACCGUAUAGCACACCUCCCAUCGCGUCAGAUGCUUAACUUUGAUCUUUUGUUGGUCUCCUC